UCCUACGGGAGGCAGCAGUGGGGAAUCUUGCGCAAUGGGCGAAAGCCUGACGCAGCAACGCCGCGUGCGGGAAGAAGGCUUUCGGGCUGUAAACCGCUUUCAGUAGGAACGAAACUGACGGUACC
rnacentral:rRNA from 1 species